AAAGGAAUUGACGGGGGCCCGCACAAGCAGCGGAGCAUGUGGUUUAAUUCGAAGCAACGCGAAGAACCUUACCAGGUCUUGACAUCCAAUUAAAGCAUAUGAAAGUAUGUGUGCCCUUCGGGGCGAAUUGAGACAGGUGGUGCAUGGUUGUCGUCAGCUCGUGUCGUGAGAUGUUGGGUUAAGUCCCGCAACGAGCGCAACCCUUGCUGUCAGUUAACAACGGGUAAAGCCGGUAACUCUGACGGGACCGCCGGGGAUAACUCGGAGGAAGGUGGGGACGACGUCAAAUCAUCAUGCCCCUUAUGAUCUGGGCUACACACGUGCUACAAUGGCCGUAACAAAGGGAAGCGAAGGGGUAACCCGGAGCGAAUCUCAUAAAAGCGGUCUCAGUUCGGAUUGUGGGCUGCAACCCGCCCACAUGAAGUCGGAGUUGCUAGUAAUCGCGAAUCAGCACGUCGCGGUGAAUGCGUUCCCGGGCCUUGUACACACCGCCCGU
rnacentral:rRNA from 1 species